GCGGGGAUGCCGGAGUGGUCAAACGGGCCAGGUUUAGGACCUGGUAGCUUAGUGCUUACAUAGGUUCGAAUCCUGUUCUCCGCA
rnacentral:tRNA from 1 species